UUUUAGCUCCUUUGUGUUUUUAGGUUUAUGUCUGUCCUCCGAAGAGGGGGCUUCUGGGUUUCUCUGUACUUCUGAGUAUGGGUCCUAUGUGCCUGUCUGUCUGUGAGCCCAGGUGUCUCUCCCAGAGAAGUAUGGGGAGGAAUCUGUACAUCUGUCCUCCCAGCAGGUGGUCACCCCCUUCCCUGGGUCAGGGCUGUGUGUCACCUGUCCCUCUCCCCAAGGGGAUCUGGGUGUCAUUUGUUGGUCCUUCCAGUUCAUUUUCAUCCAGUCCCCACAUCACACCCUGCAGUAUCUUCCAGAGAACCCAGCCCAGCCAUCAGGUGCAUGCUGUGUCUCAACCUGCCUUCCUGACUCACUUUGCUAACAGGAUUGGGAAGACAGGUGCAGAGACUUCCUCCAUUUCCUCUGGCCCGUCGGGAGCUGGGAAAGCAGGAGGGUCCAGGUACAGAGAAAGUUAAGAACAGAAAACAGAACGGUAGGAUGCACAGGGACGGACAGAAGCUAGAGACCUGCUGAAGACUUUUUUUUUUCUUUUUGAAGCAUGGAAAACACAUGUUAUAUGCCA